rnacentral:rRNA from 1 species
CCUACGGGGGGCUGCAGUGGGGAAUAUUGGACAAUGGGCGAAAGCCUGAUCCAGCCAUGCCGCGUGUGUGAAGAAGGCCUUCGGGUUGUAAAGCACUUUCAGUGGGGAAGAAAGCCUUGGGGCUAAUACCCUCGAGGAAGGACAUCACCCACAGAAGAAGCACCGGCUAACUCCGUGCCAGCAGCCGCGGUAAUAUGGAGGGUGCGAGCGUUAAUCGGAAUUACUGGGCGUAAAGCGCGCGUAGGCGGUCUGAUAAGCCGGUUGUGAAAGCCCCGGGCUCAACCUGGGAACGGCAUCCGGAACUGUCAGGCUAGAGUGCAGGAGAGGAAGGUAGAAUUCCCGGUGUAGCGGUGAAAUGCGUAGAGAUCGGGAGGAAUACCAGUGGCGAAGGCGGCCUUCUGGACUGACACUGACGCUGAGGUGCGAAAGCGUGGGUAGCAAACAGGAUUAGAUACCCUAGUAUC